GAUGAGCUCGCGUCCUAUCAGCUAGUUGGUGAGGUAACGGCCCACCAAGGCUUUUGACGGGUAGCUGGCCUGAGAGGGUGGUCAGCCACAUGGGGACUGAGACACUGCCCCAACUCCUACGGGAGGCUGCAGUCGAGGAUAUUUAGCAAUGGGGGAAACCCUGACUAUGUGACGCCGCGUGAGGGAUGAAGGAUUUCGGUCUGUAAACCUCUUUCGAUGGGGAAGAAGUCUUCAGCUCUAAUAUAGUUGAGGAUUGACGGUACCUAGAGAAGAAGCCACGGCUAACUCCGUGCCAGCAGCCGCGGUAAUACGGGGGUGGCAAGCGUUACUCGGAUUUAUUGGGUGUAAAGGACAGGUAGGCGUUCCACCAAGUUGAAGGUGAAAUCCUACGGCUUAACCGUAGAACUGCCUCCAAAACUGGCGGAAUUGAGGCUAUGAGAAGAUGGCGGAAUUCCCGGUGUAAGGGUGAAAUCUGUAGAUAUCGGGAGGAACACCAGUGGCGAAAGCGGCCUUCUAGCAUAGCUCUGACGCUGAUCUGUGAAAGCUCGGGGAGCAAACAGGAUUAGAUACCCUGGUAGUCCGAGCCGUAAA
rnacentral:rRNA from 1 species